rnacentral:rRNA from 1 species
UUGGAGGGCAAGUCUGGUGCCAGCAGCCGCGGUAAUUCCAGCUCCAAUAGCGUAUAUUAAAGUUGUUGCAGUUAAAAAGCUCGUAGUUGAAUUUUGGGCCUGGCUGGGUGGUCUUGCCGAAAGGUAAGCACUGCUCUGGUCGGGUCUUUCCUUCUGGGGAACCAGCGUGCUCUUAAUUGAGUGCGUUGGGGAUCCAGGACUUUUACUUUGAAAAAAUUAGAGUGUUUAAAGCAGGCUUACGCUUGAAUACAUUAGCAUGGAAUAAUAGAAUAGGACUUUGGUUCUAUUUUGUUGGUUUCUAGGACCGAAGUAAUGAUUAAUAGGGAUAGUUGGGGGCAUUAGUAUUUAAUUGUCAGAGGUGAAAUUCUUGGAUUUAUGAAAGACUAACUUCUGCGAAAGCAUUUGCCAAGGAUGUUUUCAUUAAUCAAGAACGAAAGUUAGGGGAUCGAAGACGAUCAGAUACCGUCGUAGUCUUAACCAUAAACUAUGCCGACUAGGGAUCGGACGAUGUUAUUUUUUUGACUCGUUCGGCGCCUUACGGGAAAC